UUAUAGGUCAAUGGAUUUUUCAAUUUUAUUAUGUUAAAAGCAAAUUAUGAAUAGUAUCUGUAUUUUAUUUAUUUCUGCAUUCUUCACAGUACCAAGCUCUCAGUAAAUGUUUUUUUUAAAAAUGAUAGAUUCUGGCUCAGUCCCUUAAGCGUAAGAUUCUUGAUUUGGAUUCAGGUCAUGACCUCAUGGCUUUGAGAUUGAGUCCCAUCUCAAGUUCUGCAUGGGGCUCUGAGCUGACUGUAGAGCCUGCUUAAGAUUCUCUCUCUCCACCCCUCUCUCUGCCCCUCCCCUGCUUGCACAUACACUGUGCGCAUUUUCUCUCUCUUAAAUAAAAUGAGUUUCCCAAUUAGCAUUUACUAUCAACCAGUGGCUACCAAAAUUAUAUUUCAGUAACAAUAUAUGGAUAUUGCCCAAAUUUGCAAUGAUUUGUUAUUAUAAAUAGUGAUUUAAAAGCUCAACAUUUCACACAUGCAAUGCAAGUGUUUUCUUGAUAUAUUGAAUUACUAUGAUAAAAAGUCUUAUUGCUUUAGAACAGAUGACUAAUGAUGCAAAGAUGAAUACUGAAGAUAUUCUUGUUAAAUGGAUGGAAGCACCCCAAAAGGUUUUGAGGAAAGAAUCUACUAACCACUUAUCUAUGUGCAGUCUCAAGCAAUUUAAGAGGAAACUGGUGUGGGAAGUAAAGACCAAUGGCGAAGACUUUUCUGUUAUUUUUUAAUUCGUGGCAUAAUGUUCAGUUAGCUCAUAGGUGCACAGAACUUAAUCCCUUUCCUCUCAUUCUCUCCUUUUAUAAUCUGUAUUCCAUGCAGAGGUUGGAGAAGCCUGUUAAGGGACAAUGGUGGGAGAACAGAAGACCACAGAAGAAAUCCAAUAAUGAAGCUACUGUGCCUGAUAUUUACUUAUGACAGAGAGUUCUUGGCAAGAUGGCAAGGAGAUGCAGAGGCUCUGGAACAGUGACCUACUCUUCUUCCACUGGAAACAAAUAUGUCUCCAAUUUGUGCGGCCUGCAAUGCCAGCCAAUUAACUUGAAGUUGAGUUUUGACUCAAACUCAUGACCCUUCAAGCCAUAGAUCCCUAUUAUACAUCUGGCGUCAUUGAACCAAGUUAGGGUAAAAAUAAUCUCCGCUAUUGUUUGUGUGUGUGUGUGUGUGUGUGUGUGCGCGUUGCUUCUUUUCCUUGCUUUUAAAACAAAACAAAACAAAACAAAACAAAACAAAACAAAACAAUUGAGGUUUCUAAGACUUACUGAAGUCUUUAGGAUUCCUAAAGCUUUCUACAUGAUAUUUGUAUGUUUUCUCCUCUUUAGGAGGGAAAAAGGGCUGGAGCACAAUCAUUUUUAUUGAAUAAAGUUUGCAGUUCAUGAAAGGCUUUCUUGCUC
rnacentral:lncRNA from 1 species